UCCUGGGAUGUCUGUGAAAGUCUCGUGGUGGUCUUGAGUGAGAUGAAGGUCCAGAUACCUCGGACGCCUGCAUUCUCAUGUUUCUUUUAGCUCCUCUGUAGUCGGUUGUUGGAAAGCGUCCAAGAGCAACAUCUUUGAUAGCUUUGGCAAAAAUCCUGACUCCAUCCUGAUUGAGGUGGAGCCCGUCAUACAGAUGCCAUGGUCUUACAGAGCUGUGAUGGACUAAGUGCACGUUGGGCAGACUGGAGCAGGAGUAACGGAUCUCUUGGUUGAUCUGAUCGAUCACAGAGGGAGGGACGUCGAGCCCCGGGAGCAAGGUGGAGAUCAGUACAUGUGAAGCGGGGAAUGUCUGUGAGGCUUUCUCUGCCAUCUCAUGUAUUGCCAUAGCUGUACGUUCAUUUAACUUAUGGAGGUCAUUUGUACCUGUGUGAAUGAUAACACACUGCGGGCUGCCGAGAUCAUCAUUAGUGAGCAGUUCAUGAACGCGUUCUGUGUUUCUGCAGUGGAGCGCUAGGACUCUCUGUCUGGGGAAGAGUUUCUUGGGUUCGAUGUUCUUUCCAGUGGAGUCCAUCAGAAGAAGCACAGAGCCUUGAGUCGCUGGUGUCCUGUGUGACGCUGGUGGUGUGUGUGAAUCUGCAGGUGCAGAGCUGUGUGACGCUGGUGGUGUGUGAGCGCGCUCCUUCACUGAAUCUGCAGGUCUAGAUCUGUGUGACGUCUCUUCGUGAUGGAGCCGCAGGUUACUCUCAGAGCAGCUCUUGUUGGGAGAUUCUCUGUCCUUGUUUUUAAGCUCUAAACACAUUGCAGUCUGUUCUUUCAGCUUUUCUUUUAACUCAUGGAUGUUUUUCUCAAAUUUUCUUUCUCUCUGUAUUAAGUCGUCUUUCAUUUUUGACAUUUGGCCCUCUAGAUUCAUGUUGAUGUUGUGUAACUCCUUAAUUUCAGCCUUGAGAUUAUUGAUGGUGAAUUCAUCUGGACGGCUCAGGAUGAGCUGCUUUAAUUCUGACACCUCUAUCUCUAGCAGAGCUAUCUUCUGGGGAAGACACUGGAGAUAACUGUGAGUGUGUGUGGUCUGCUCAGGGAUCAGUUCAUCAGAUGGGGCUGGAGAUGUGCUGACCAGAGAGUAGGGACGCACUUCAUUCUCCUCCUCAGAUCCCUCUGUUUCCUCCUCAAUUAUCUGCUUUAAAAUGGGAAAUGAUUUCUCAAAAGCUUGGAGACUAGCUUCAUUUCCUUGAAUUAAGACCGUUCCACUGUUGUACAGAUUGAUGGUUUGGAAAUGGGAGGAGUGAUCAGCUGAUUCAAAAAUGCAGAUCUGACAUCCUUUACAGAUUCCCUUCUUCUUAGUGAAGGGGAAAUAUACUCUCUUCUUGAGAGGUCAUAUCAACAUAAAGAGAUUCGGGGUGUUCAUGUAGCAUUGUCUGUUUAAAGGCUUUUCUUUUUCUCCUUUAGUGUCUGCAGGAUAAACAAUCUCCAUGGCAACCGCUGAAUGCAUCCGUUAUUGACAGUUGAGAUUUAUAUGAUGCUGGUAAUUGUUGUUAAUUAAC